rnacentral:lncRNA from 1 species
AUGCCGACCCACACAGCUGUGUGGAAUGGGGACCCAGGCCAACAAGGGCAUCAACUUUGCCAAGGAAGGUGGUGCUCAGGAACCGGGAUGUGGCGUGGGGCUGGGCAGCUGAGUAGCAACUGCAGGCCAGGGGCCUCAGCCUGCACUUGCACAGCUGGACACCCACCACAGCCAACCAUCCUUGUCCUGCACGACUGCCUCCACCAGGACUGCCAGGGCUCCCCAUGCUGGUCAGCAAUGAGGGCAUCAUCUGCAAUUUUGAUCCCACACCCUUGUGUAUUCAUAAGCAGCGGUGUCAAUGAAAACAAAUCAGAGAUGUCCGCACGGAGAUACUGCCCCCAAUAAAACCCCAAGGCAGAGAGGUGGAUGUGUCCACUAUGAAGAGUCUAAAAGCUCCUAAAGACUGCAGCCCAGAACUGCAGCAGCAGGUUCCAAGUAAGACUGUCAUGGAGGAAAACAAGUUUGUGGAAGAUACAGAGAAUGGAACACACGGAAGGAGGGCUGGCCCAAUACAGCACAUGGAGGGAGGCAAAUUGGCAUCAUUGUCCGGAGAGUACACCAGGAAGUGAGUCAAGGAAAGGUGACAAGAUCCUCCUGAAUGCACACUGCCCAGGGGGGUGAGAACAAACUUGAGGGGUGCCCAAGGCCACCAAAGAAGCAGAGACACCCAAGUAUUUGGCCCAUUUGCUCCCAGAUAUUGAGGGGGCCCUACAGACACUUUGGGAAGAAAAAGUA